CACGUAGGGCGCAAGCGUUGUCCGGAAUUAUUGGGCGUAAAGAGCUCGUAGGCGGUCUGUUGCGUCCGCUGUGAAAACUCGGGGCUUAACCCCGAGCCUGCAGUGGAUACGGGCAGACUAGAGGUAGGUAGGGGAGAAUGGAAUUCCCGGUGUAGCGGUGAAAUGCGCAGAUAUCGGGAGGAACACCGGUGGCGAAGGCGGUUCUCUGGGCCUUACCCUGACGCUGAGGAGCGAAAGCGUGGGGAGCGAACAGGG
rnacentral:rRNA from 1 species